GCGAUUUUUUUUCUUUUAACAUAGAAGUAACGAAUGUUUUCAUCAGUCAGACUAGGAUCUGCAGUAUGUAACAUAGCACAUGUUAGCCCUCUGAGUGCAUAGAAUUUGCUUGAGAAUCCUUGCUGGGGAAUUUUUCAGACCCUUGAGUGUAUUCACACAUAUUUCUUGAUUUUACUGCAGACCAAGGGGCGUCAUUGAGACCCAAAAUGUCCACCCAAGAAGAGUAUUGGGGAAUGACACAUUGCCAAUUCUUCUCAGUGGGCUUAGACAAUGACGGGUUCUACAGCAUCAGCAGAUGCACCCCUCCUUCUUAGCCAUCUUAUGAAGAAGGGAAGUCCCUUUCCCUACAUAGUAAGCUGCAGAGCCUUCUCUGCUCUGAUUGGAGGGAGUUAAGGUUUGUGGCUGCCUAUCCCAAGUGAUCGACAGUGUCUCUCCCUGUCUCCAUUCACUGCUGUGCUGAAGGCGCCCCUGAAAUGCUGCUUCCCCAUUAGCUGCUGCUAGUGCCAGGCAGACCCUCGGGGAACCACCUAGCCUUGGCUUGUGCUCGGUGAGUUGGGAUCUGUCUGCUCAGGGUCAGAAGAGCUCUAGAAACAACUGGUGAGAAGAGCAAUAAAUUAUCAGGUGCUCUACGGGGCCGGGAAUCAACCGGCAAGGAAAAGCAAGGCUCUGUGUUGUUGUUGUUGUCAUUUUCUUUUCUCAGCUGCUUUUACACAGGACCAUAGCCACCAGUGCGAAACCAACACAGAAUGGAAAAGACCCGACCCGGGGCAUGUGAGAGCAAGAGGCAAGUGCUUUGCAAAGAGGCUGAAAGGAAAAUACAGAGAAAACACAAUCCAAAAGGUUCUAAAAUGGGAUUCCUAGAACCAAACAGAUUCCAUGAGUAACUCUAGGUACCAGGAAGUCAGUUCCAGCAAGUCUCCCAGAAGAUACCUCAGAGGCUGAAGCCACCACUCCCACUCAUGAUUUUCUUUACUUUAUUUAGCAUGGUCUCUAGUCCUCCAGGAGGGAUGUGUUGCUUUUCUGGUUUGGGGCCAAGCCUGGCUGGGAUUGGGUUUUCACUCCUGUUAGGCAAUCUGUCUCGGAGGCCUGGGUUUCCUUGGGAGCCCAUUGUUUCAGAAUGUAGGCUUGUGCUUCCUUUUCCUUACUUCCCUGCUCCACUGGGAUGCAGGAGUGUGUGGGAGGGUGUGGGAGGCAAGGCCCAACCCAAGCGUUGCCCUAAUGUUUUCUCAGCUUUGACUCAAGAGAGAACAAUUUUAAACUCCAGGGUGGCUACAAGUUCCUUAUUUGCUCAUUACUGCUUUGAAUGUAUUUCAAUGUCCUGAAAGUCAUGAACAACCUUCCCAUAGUCAGGUCGAGAUAUUUCCGAACUCCACACUGAUCUGCAGCUGCUGUGUUUAUACAUAGUCAUUAAACUAUGUUCCUCACACAUGUAGAUUUUUAAAUAACAGAAUCCCAUAUUUCCUGCUCAUUUAAAUAUAACAUUUAUUUAGUUUUUUUUCCUUUUUUGGGAGUCCAGAAAUGAUACACAUAAAUUCACAAAAUGCUAUAAAUCCAUAUAUUAUUUGAAUUGGGUGCUGGGACUAGAGACAGGGCACAGACCACCAGGAAGGGUGUCGAUUUGUAGAUAGAGUCCAUAUAGGUAAAGGACAAGAACUGCUCUAAAAUUGCUACUUUCUCUGGAACGGAAAAGCAAAGCGCUAUUCUAAGAUCAGCGAGCAAUGGCAUGGCUGAGCCUUGGCUCCACGUGUGUGACUAUAAAACACCCUACGGCCAAUAGCAGAUUGCCACUUUCCUUGUUCUGAAUUACUGCUUUCCCCGGUCAUUAACGUAGCCACAGCGUCCAGGGGUUACAGGACCAAAGUGCAAGGCUCUGGAAUUUUUCCAUCAACAUUCUCUCAUCACGAAGAAGGGCAGCUCAGAAGAAUUCAGAGCCCAUUCAGAAGGACGAUCGCAGCACAUCCCUAUAGAAUUUCAGUGAUCAACGCUGAAUAAGUAGCGGAAUGUAACCUGUCAAGUAGAAAUAUUGAGCAAUCAGACGGAAUGCAGUAAUUCAAGAGUCUUGCCAGCGUGGAGCCACCAAGAUCUUAGACGUCAGAGUUGUAACUCAGAGGGCGAAGGGACAGCACACACUGAAGACUGGGUGCAUCCAGAUUGCUUUGCUUUCAGUCAACACGGAUAUCCUCCCCCUCAACAUUCCCAGAAUAGCUCCAGUUUGAAAUAAUUAAGUGGUGGUGUUCUUUGAAUUUCUAUAACCAAUCAAUCUUAUUUUUUAUUUUGUGUAUCAUAGAACAACUAUGUGCCACUAUGGCUGUGUGUCGCCGUAAUUCUCCACUGAACUAUCAUGACUGUUUGCCUAUCUUUGAGUAUUGAAUAUAACUCUUAUGGUGGUAGUCUGGUGAUGGGACUUGCCCUUCCUUACCAACAAGACCAGUCUUGUGGUAUUGGAAAGGUUCUUUCGGUUUGAGAGUAGAGUAGUUGAACACUCCUUCAUUACUUGCUUCCUGUAAAUCAAUUCUGUAGAUGAGAACCAUUAUACUAAUGAGUACAUUUCCCCCUCAACAUUGUAGAAGGAACCACUUUAUUUGUCAUGAUCAAUAAAUAUGUGAAUUGUUCCAAACUGUUAGAAGAAAACGUUAAGGUCUUCAGUCCCUGGGAAUGCUCUGACUGUAGCCCCCCGCUAACCCACACGUGGUGGUGGUGUGUAUUAAUAUGAGUCCAGGGGAAAUAUGAAUAAACGACGGAAAACACUUGAUGCUCUGCGUUCCUGAGGCUUCCCUGCAGUCUGCUUAGCCCUUUUAUGAGUGGUGGUUAACAGGCCUGUCACAUAGUGUUGAGAGAGCGCAGUAUAUCUGUGAAAGAAGGCCAAAAUUGCAAUCUUUUCCCCUUCCAGGCAUAUUUAAGUUGGGAAAAAAAAACAGGAAAGAAAAAUUGUCUCAGAGGGCCACGGAGCUACCGAAUCGCCAGGACUCAAGCACGUUAAAUCAUGGUUGUUUGCCGACCACAGGCAUCGCCUAGACAACUCUAUCCCCUGUGCUGAAGUGCAGUUGUGCUGAGGGGAAACUGUCUCCACAUUAUUGUGCUGCCUCUAGCCCUUCUCUGGGUGUCAGCAUUUCCAUGAUAAACUCCUAUUCUGGAAGGUUUUUAAUUUGACCAUAAAAAUGUGCCUCAGGCUGAGGUUUGCCAUUCGAGGCCUGUUCAGAAGAGGGAAGGGGCACAUCUCACCCUUCUCAACUUCUCCUCCGCUCCCGAGAAAGGGUCCACCCCGAGAUGUCUGAUUGCAUAGCCUUCAUUGUGAUUCCAGAGUCUUGGAAUGCGCCAAGAUCCAAGAUGGUAAUUUUAACAAAACUAUCCAUUCGGAUAUGUUCUCUCCAAAUGGCUCAACUAACAUAUAUUAUAAGAUAUUUUUUAUUAUUUUUAACUUUUUAAUUACUAUGAUUCUCCCUCUCUCUCCCUCUCUGUCUCUCCUUGUCCCUCUCUCUGUCUCUCUCUUUGUCCCUCUCUCUGUCUCUCUCUUUGUCCCUCUCUCUGUCUCUCUCUUUGUCCCUCUCUUUGUCCCUCUCUGUGUCUUUCUUUGCCCACCCCACGCCUCUUCUCCCUCUGUCCAAAUAUUUUUACGAACUUGAACUUGAUCAGCCCAAAGGUCCACUUUUCCCAUGAGAUGCCUGCUACUUCCAUUGGGAAUUUGCAACAAUAACUCUCUGCCCCAGGGGAGCACUGGUUUGCAUGCUGUGUGGAGGAUCAGAUACAUGCUUCUUUAGAAAUCUGGGUUUCCGGAGUUUAAUCAUCAGAUUUCAUGAAGGCACUCUAGUCUAUUGGGAGAAUAGCGGUCCAAGGAGCCCCCACAAUUAACACUUUUUUCAACUCAGAUUCGAAGCCAACGUAAAGUAAUACACUUCCUACUCUCCCGCUUAAAGGCAGAUAAAUCAGAGAAACUUGAGGACAUUUGAAACAUUUGAUGACCGCAAAAGCUCUUUGCACUUGGGCUCUCUGGUGCUUACACGGGGAGCAGUUAGGAACUGGGACCCUGGGAUGUCAGAUGGAAUCUUUAGUUUGUAAUUACAUACAGAUGGGGGAGGUGCUUUAAGCCGCUCUUUUGUUUUUUAAUCAUCUCAAAUAUGCAGCCAGCCAGCCAGUAGCACUAAGGGUCAUAAACUGAUGGGAAUCAGGAAAUCCAAGGUAGAGGUUUAGAAUGCCUCACUCAGCUCGGGCAUUUUUGUUCGUUUCUGUGGCUGGCUCUAACAUGGAGACCUCUGUGGUCAUUUUUCGGUAAAGUGAGCAUCUAACUGGCAGGUGUUGUGAUCUUGCAGUUUGCCCGUGGAGACAAACAAGGGGUGUGGAUUUAUUGCUUUCCGUCAAGAAAAGGCAGUCUCUCAGCCGCACCUGGAAACCUCCUCCACCCUUUUUUAUUUAUUUAUUUUUUGGUCAACUAAACUGAGACCCUUAAUGUUACUUUAAUGUAAAAUUGUAUAUUUUUGACUGUGUCAUACUUUACUAAUUUUAAGUAAUUAGUGCUUAAGCCUUCAGAACUAUUGGUAUUAAGAGUAGGAUGUUAAAGUGGUACUAAACAACUUAAUGCUAAUUCAUUCCAUCGUGCUCGGCUGUAGUCAGGGACAGACUGGGAAUAGUUCUCACUUGCCCCUGACAUUAAAUCCUUGGUGUGUUCGAAGAAUAAAUAAAGAGAAACUGAAGCUGGUUCAAGGUUAGCGUCAUAUCCUUGACAACUUUUUUUUUUAAUUUUUUUAUUAGGAAAUUAAUAUUAGCCUUUUUCAUUCUGGCUGAAAGAAAAUUAUUAAAAGAUUAGUUGAGUGUGAAAUUGAAUAGUCCUUUACCCCUGCAUACUAAAGAGGUGGGCUGGGGACUGGACACAUUUAACAAGUUCCCCUCAAGGUUUUGAUUUGGAGAAAACAAUUCAACGUUUCCUUUGGAGAGUCGCCCUUGUCACUUGCUGCAUGGAUUGGAUGACGUAGGUUAGUGUCUGAUUUUGGAAUCCCAAUGAGAUAACUUUCAAACAAUUUAUCCCCAUAAUUAAAGGUGGAAUGGUAUCCAAUUUCCCCCCAAUCCUUCAGUUUAAGCUCAUAAAUUGUAGGUGAAUGUGGAAUGAAAUCAUCUGUGAUAUAUUAUGUUCAUUUACCAAAUGAGCUCUUUUUGAUGUUGCCUGUUUUUAUGUAAAACAUGUUCUUAAACUAAUAAAGUAAUAUCUCUUGGUGUACAAACU
rnacentral:lncRNA from 1 species